rnacentral:rRNA from 1 species
GACGAACGCUGGCGGCGUGCUUAACACAUGCAAGUCGUACGGUAAGGCCCUUUCGGGGGUACACGAGUGGCGAACGGGUGGGUAACACGUGAGUAACCUGCCCACAACUUUGGGAUAACGCUAGUAAACUGGUGCUAAUACUGGAUAUGUGCUCCUGCUGCAUGGUGGGGGUUGGAAAGCUCCGGCGGUUGUGGAUGGACUCGCGGCCUAUCAGCUUGUUGGUGGGGUAGUGGCCUACCAAGGCGGCGACGGGUAGCCGGCCUGAGAGGGUGACCGGCCACAUUGGGACUGGGAUACGGCCCAGACUCCUACGGGAGGCAGCAGGGGGGAAUAUUGGACAAUGGGCGCAAGCCUGAUGCAGCAACGCCGCGGGCGGGAGGACGGCCUUCGGGUUGUAAACCGCUUUCAGCAGGGACGAAGCUUUUUGUGACGGUACCUGCAGAAGAAGCACCGGCUAACUACGUG